CCUACGGGUGGCAGCAGUGAGGAAUAUUGGUCCAUGGGCGGGCGCCUGAACCAGCCAAGUCGCGUGAGGGACGACGGUCCUAUGGAUUGUAAACCUCUUUAGGCGGGGAGCACUGCCGGGCGCGCGUGCGCGGCGGGCGAGUACCCGCCGAAUAAGCAUCGGCUAACUCCGUGCCAGCAGCCGCGGUGAUACGGAGGGUGCGAGCGUUAUCCGGAUUGAUUGGGUUUAACGGGUGCGUAGGCGUCUUUUUAAGUCAGCGGUAAAAGGUCCGGGCUCAACCCGGGCCGGCCGUUGAAACUGGGGAUCUUGAGUGGGCGAGAAGUAUGCGGAAUGCGUGGUGUAGCGGUGAAAUGCAUAGAUAGAACGCAGAACUCCGAUUGCGAAGGCAGCAGACCGGCGCCCGACUGACGCUGAGGCACGAAAGCGUGGGGAUCGAACAGGAUUAGAUACCCCUGUAGUC
rnacentral:rRNA from 1 species